rnacentral:rRNA from 1 species
GUCUAUGUCCACACCACCCUGAAUGUGCCCUGUCUCCUCUGAUCUCAGAAGCUAAGCGGAGUUGGGCCCGGUUAGUACUUGGAGAAAUAAUAU